rnacentral:rRNA from 1 species
UUUCCGUAGGUGAACCUGCGGAAGGAUCAUUACCGAGUGAGGGCCCUCUGGGUCCAACCUCCCACCCGUGUUUAUUGUACCUUGUUGCUUCGGCGGGCCCGCCUCCCGGCCGCCGGGGGGCUUCUGCCCUCUGGCCCGCGCCCGCCGAAGACACCAUUGAACACUGUCUGAAGAUUGCAGUCUGAGCAAUUAGCUAAAUAAGUUAAAACUUUCAACAACGGAUCUCUUGGUUCCGGCAUCGAUGAAGAACGCAGCGAAAUGCGAUACGUAAUGUGAAUUGCAGAAUUCAGUGAAUCAUCGAGUCUUUGAACGCACAUUGCGCCCCUUGGUAUUCCGGGGGGCAUGCCUGUCCGAGCGUCAUUGCUGCCCUCAAGCACGGCUUGUGUGUUGGGCCCCGUCCUCCUUCCCGGGGGACGGGCCCGAAAGGCAGCGGCGGCACCGCGUCCGGUCCUCGAGCGUAUGGGGCUUUGUCACCCGCUCUUGUAGGCCCGGCCGGCGCUUGCCGACAACCAUCAAUCUUUUUUCAGGUGACUCGGAUCAGGUAGGGAUACCC